CCCCCCCCCCCCCCCAUCUCUCUCUGACUUACUUUUCUUUUGACCCUUCCAUGGCCGAUCCUUUCUCCAAUUUCUUCUCUCCUCCUCCUCCUUCUGGAUUUUUCCAAUUCAAUCCCAUCCCUUACUAUUAUCCCCCUCCUCCUCCUCCCACCGCUCCUCCGGUAUCAUACCAACACCAUCAUCAUCAUCCUUAUCUCCACAACUUCAUCGCUUCUUCUUCUUCUUCUUCGCCUCCCACUUCCCCACCUCUCAGGGAAGCCCUCCCUCUUCUGAACCUCGACCCCACUAAGCAUGGAUCACAUCAUGAGCCUCAUCAUCAUCAUCACCAGUCUUGCAGUACUUCCAUGGAAGUGGAGGACAGUACUGCUCCUAAGACUAAAGAAGAAGAAGAUGAUGAAGAGGAGGAGGAAGAAGAGGAUGAGAAUAGUGUGACUGUUGCACUCCACAUAGGGCUGCCUAACCCUAGUGCUGCUGAGAUGGCUUCUAUCCUCUCUUCUUCCUCCACUCACGCACAAGAAGCAGCAGCAGAUGGUGAUGCUUUUGUGGAUAACUCUUGCUCUGGACUCUCCAGGAUCAACAAGGGCCAGUACUGGAUCCCUACUCCUACUCAGAUUCUCAUUGGUCCUACCCAGUUCUCUUGCCCUGUUUGCUCCAAAAGCUUCAACCGCUACAACAACAUGCAGAUGCAUAUGUGGGGGCAUGGAUCACAGUACAGAAAAGGGCCAGAAUCUCUGAGAGGUACACAACCAACGGGCAUGCUGAGGCUUCCUUGCUAUUGUUGUGCCCCAGGAUGCAGGAACAACAUUGACCACCCAAGGGCUAAGCCCCUCAAGGAUUUUAGAACCCUUCAGACACACUACAAGAGGAAGCAUGGGAUUAAGCCCUUCAUGUGCAGAAAAUGUGGCAAGGCUUUCGCUGUGAGAGGGGAUUGGAGAACCCAUGAGAAGAACUGCGGGAAGCUUUGGUAUUGUAUUUGUGGCUCUGAUUUCAAACACAAGAGGUCGCUUAAAGAUCAUAUCAAGGCUUUUGGGAGCGGCCAUGCUGCGUAUGGGAUCGCUGGCUUAGAAGAAGAAGAUGAGCCAGCAUCCGAAGUAGAGCAAGAUAAUGAAUCCACCUAGUGAGACAAGCGGCGGACCGAUUCGUGAUUUUGUAUGUGUAUGUGAAUUAUCUUAGAACCUUUUCCAACGGAUCAGCAGGAUUACUAUAGCGAUCAUGGCUUGUAUUGGGAACUAUAUAUAUAAUCAAGUUUCUGAUUGGGCAGGAGCAUAUUACUAAGUAAAUUAUGGCUAAAGCGUUCAUAAUUAUGACAAAGGAGCGGCGCAUACCCCAGAGAAUAUUCAGCUUAAAAUGUAUCCUGUUUUAUUAUAUAUAUUACAUGAUUUUUUUU